rnacentral:rRNA from 1 species
GUGAGGAAUAUUGGUCAAUGGGCGGGAGCCUGAACCAGCCAAGUCGCGUGAGGGAAGACGGUCCUAUGGAUUGUAAACCUCUUUAGGCGGGGAGCAAUGCCGGGCACGCGUGCCCGGAGGGAGAGUACCCGCAGAAUAAGCAUCGGCUAACUCCGUGCCAGCAGCCGCGGUAAUACGGAGGAUGCGAGCGUUAUCCGGAUUUAUUGGGUUUAAAGGGUGCGUAGGCGGAUUUUUAAGUCAGCGGUAAAAUGUCCGGGCUCAACCCGGGCCGGCCGUUGAAACUGGGGAUCUUGAGUGGGCGAGAAGUAUGCGGAAUGCGUGGUGUAGCGGUGAAAUGCAUAGAUAUCACGCAGAACUCCGAUUGCGAAGGCAGCAUACCGGCGCCCGACUGACGCUGAGGCACGAAAGCGUGGGGAUCGAACAGG